UACGUAGGGUGCGAGCGUUAAUCGGAAUUACUGGGCGUAAAGCGUGCGCAGGCGGUUUUGUAAGCCAGAUGUGAAAGCCCCGGGCUCAACCUGGGAAUGGCAUUUGGGACUGCAAGGCUUGAGUGCGGCAGAGGAGACUGGAAUUCCUGGUGUAGCAGUGAAAUGCGUAGAUAUCAGGAGGAAUACCGAUGGCGAAGGCAGGUCUCUGGGCUGACACUGACGCCCAUGCACGAAAGCGUGGGGAGCAAACAGG
rnacentral:rRNA from 1 species